CACCACUGUAUUCCACCUCCCCUUGGAUAACACGCAGAAACAGGCCAAGAAGAAAUACAGGAGAAAAAAUUACCUGCUGUUGGUUAUUUCUAUUUCAAAUGAAUACUAGCUGAACAUUUACUAAAUGACAUUGUCAGGUUUCAGCAAAAGCGGCCUGUAAUAGUUGGGUUUUGGCAGAGUUCAAAGACUGGGAAGCAAAGUUCAGCCAUGUUGGGCCUUUGGGCUCAUAGAUGAGCAAGGGUACCCCAAUAUGAGGGCUCAGCAAAUUCUGGAACUUAUCCGUUCUGAAGACCUUUAGAGGAGACGGAGGUUUUCGUGCUUUGCCUGGAUUCUCAUGGUGUCUGCCUAACUCCCUCCACCAUUUCUACCCAUACAUGACCUCCAUGUCUCAUCACAUUCCACUUUUAAAAAGUAACCUGAUCAGUUUUACCUUCAAAGUGAAAAACGUUCAAUUAGUUUUGAAGUUGAAUCUUGAUCCUCCCAAAUAAACAAGGAUUUCUAGUAAGUGUAGAAAGAAGAUUUGAGUAGAUGAACAUUUAUCUUUCCCCCAUUGUGUGCUGGUCAUUAUGCUUCUUGUUCCUCCCUAUGUGAGAGGCAUUUUAAUUUUCAUUUUCACAGAGAAGACGACUUAGGUUCACAAAGAUAAGCUGUGUUCUUAGGGCCACACAGCAAGGCAGCAGGGACCAAAGAUCUAAGUUAAGAUCUACUUAAUUCCUAAGCUCCUUCCUGCAAGGGCUGGAAUAUCUCUUAGAAAUGUUUCUGACAGUAAUUUUAGUUUUAGGAGAAAGACUAGACACUGUUUUUUGACCUUUCCAAUUAUCUGACAAGCCCAGUGUUAAUCAGCUGAGUCAGAAUUGAUGACCUCAGGACUGUUUUAAGCCCCAAACCAUCUUCGGAUGAAAUGAUAAAACGAGAUUGCGAGGCUAAUUAACAAGUCUAAAAACAUUAUGUGAGUUCCAGUGAUGCCUUUCCUUCUGGCCCAUCC
ensembl:lincRNA